rnacentral:rRNA from 1 species
UACGUAGGGUGCGAGCGUUGUCCGGAAUUAUUGGGCGUAAAGGGCUCGUAGGCGGUCUGUCACGUCGGGAGUGAAAACACGGGGCUUAACCCCGUGCCUGCUUCCGAUACGGGCAGACUAGGGGUAUGCAGGGGAGAACGGAAUUCCUGGUGUAGCGGUGAAAUGCGCAGAUAUCAGGAGGAACACCGGUGGCGAAGGCGGUUCUCUGGGCAUUACCUGACGCUGAGGAGCGAAAGUGUGGGGAGCGAACAGG